GACGAACGCUGGCGGCGUGCUUAACACAUGCAAGUCGAACGGAAAGGCCCUGCUUUUGUGGGGUGCUCGAGUGGCGAACGGGUGAGUAACACGUGAGUAACCUGCCCUUGACUUUGGGAUAACUUCAGGAAACUGGGGCUAAUACCGGAUAGGAGCUCCUGCUGCAUGGUGGGGGUUGGAAAGUUUCGGCGGUUGGGGAUGGACUCGCGGCUUAUCAGCUUGUUGGGGGGGUAGUGGCUUACCAAGGCUUUGACGGGUAGCCGGCAUGAGAGGGUGACCGGCCACAUUGGGACUGAGAUACGGCCCAGACUCCUACGGGAGGCAGCAGUGGGGAAUAUUGCACAAUGGGCGGAAGCCUGAUGCAGCAACGCCGCGUGCGGGAUGACGGCCUUCGGGUUGUAAACCGCUUUCGCCUGUGACGAAGCGUGAGUGACGGUAAUGGGUAAAGAAGCACCGGCUAACUACGUG
rnacentral:rRNA from 1 species